rnacentral:lncRNA from 1 species
CUGAGGGAUCAGCCUCAUGAUCAGACAUGAACUGAAUAUCAGGAGACGCUCUAUAAUUAAGAGGAGGUGAAGACGGUCCCUUCUCCUCUGCUCUUUCCUCAACACCCUUCGACCAACGAUCAUCAGUUUUUGAAAAAUCCAUGCGAUGCAGUGUGUGGCAGUUGAUGGUGUCAGAAUGUGAUAAUUUGGUGACUGUCUCUCCCUUAAAACAGAUU